rfam:Paenibacillus sp. DMB20 mira_9, whole genome shotgun sequence.
AGCACCUUUAAAUCAGUCCCGUGAGGCUGGCAAGGUAACGUGAACCGAGGUUCAUGACAUGGAAGCAUCUUUUUGUCUGAGGACAAAUAGAUUGUACUUCGCCGUAUUUCUCUGUGUACAUGAGAUCAAUACUCCUUGCCAACGCGGCAAGGAGUUUUUUAGU